AACCUCCCAGCAUCACGUCCGGAGAGUGGCUAAUAUUCUGCCAGCUUCGGGGACGGGAGGGAAAGCAAGCCGGGUAGAGAGACCCAUUCCAUUCCCCUCUUGCUUAGUAACUGGUGACUGGAAGACACUCUGCAACGAUG